rnacentral:rRNA from 1 species
UAAGAGUUUAUGGGGGAUACCUUGGCAUUCAGAAGCGAUGAAGGACGUGGUUACCGACGAAACGCUUCGGGGAGCUGGAAACAAGCUACGAUCCGGAGGUCUCCGAAUGAGGAAACUUUAAUACUACUUAUUGAAUCCAUAAAUAAGAAAGAGCGAACCUAGGGAAUUGAAACAUCUUAGUACCUAGAGGAAAAGAAAGUAAAAACGAUUCCCUUAGUAGCGGCGAGCGAAACGGGAACAGCCUAAACUUAAAAUUUAAGGGUAGCGGGACAGUUAAAAAUGAUUAAAUGUGACAAUUAGACGAAUUAGUUGGAAUGCUAAACCAAAGAAAGUGAUAGUCUUGUAGUCGAAAAUUGAAACAAUUGAACUGAAUCCCAAGUAGCAUGGAGCACGUGAAAUUCCGUGUGAAUCAGCGAGGACCACCUCGUAAGGCUAAAUAUUCCUGAAUGACCGAUAGUGAAAUAGUACCGUGAGGGAAAGGUGAAAAGAACCCCGGGAGGGGAGUGAAAAGAACAUGAAACCAUAAACUUACAAUCAGUAGGAGGACGACUAAAACGUCUAACUUCGUGCCUGUUGAAGAAUGAGCCGGCGACUUAUAGGUAGUGGCAGGUUAAGGCAGAGAAUGCCGGAGCCAUAGUGAAAGCGAGCCUGAAUAGGGCGUUUGUCACUGGUUAUAGACCCGAACCCGGAUGAUCUAACCAUGGUCAGGUUGAAGCUUAGGUAAUACUAAGUGGAGGACCGAACCGACUGAUGUUGAAAAAUCAGCGGAUGAACUGUGGUUAGGGGUGAAAUUCCAAUCGAAUUCGGAGCUAGCUGGUUCUCCCCGAAAUGCGUUUUGGCGCAGCGAUAAAUGUUAUAACUUAGGGGUAAAGCACUGUUACGUAUGCGGGCUGGUAAUUCGGUACCAAAUCGUUGCAAACUAAGAAUACUAAGUGGAAAGUUUAUCAGUGAGACUGUGGGGGAUAAGCUCCAUUGUCAAGAGGGAAACAGCCCAGAGCACCAGUUAAGGCCCCUAAAUAAUUGCUAAGUGAUAAAGGAGGUGGGAGUGCAGAAACAAUCAGGAGGUUUGCCUAGAAGCAGCAAUCCUUUAAAGAGUGCGUAAUAGCUCACUGAUCGAGUAAACCUGCGCCGAAAAUGUACGGGACUAAGUAAUUUGCCGAAACUGUGCGAUAUAUUUUGAAAUAUAUCGGUAGGGGAGCGUUCUGUUGUAGGUUGAAGUAUUAGCGGAAGCGGAUAUGGACGAAGCAGAAGUGAGAAUGUCGGCUUGAGUAACGAAAAUAUAGGUGAGAAUCCUAUACCCCGAAAACCCAAGGGUUCCUCCGGAAGGCUCGUCCGCGGAGGGUAAGUCAGGACCUAAGGCGAGGCUGAAAAGCGUAGUCGAUGGACAACGGGUUAAUAUUCCCGUACCAUUAUUUGUUGAUAUCGAGGGACGGAGAAGGCUAAACUGGCCGGAUGUUGGUUACCGGUUUAAGCACUUAAGGUGAUGAGAGAUGGAGAAAACGUCUUGAGCUAAGGUGUGAAUACGAGAUGCUACGGCAUCGAAGCAGUCUACGUCAUACUUCCAAGAAAAGCUCGCACUGUCAGAAACAGAUAAUGCCUGUACCAUAACCGACACAGGUGGGUAGGUAGAGUAUACUAAGGGGCGCGAGAUAACUCUCUCUAAGGAACUCGGCAAAAUGACUCCGUAACUUCGGGAGAAGGAGUGCCUUAUUUUAAGGUUGCAAUAACCAGAUCCAAGCAACUGUUUAUCAAAAACACAGGUCUCCGCAAAGUCGUAAGACGAUGUAUGGGGGCUGACGCCUGCCCAGUGCCAGAAGGUUAAAGAAGUUGGUUAGCCUUGCGAAGCUGAUGACUGAAGCCCUGGUGAACGGCGGCCGUAACUAUAACGGUCCUAAGGUAGCGAAAUUCCUUGUCGGGUAAGUUCCGACCCGCACGAAAGGCGUAAUGAUUUGGAUACUGUCUCAGAGAGGGGCUCGGUGAAAUAGACUUGUCUGUGAAGAUGCGGACUACCUGCACCUGGACAGAAAGACCCUAUGAAGCUUUACUGUAACUUGAAAUUGAAAUUGGACUUUAUUUGCGCAGCAUAGGUGGGAGGCGUUGAAGAUCUUCUUGCGGGAAAAUCGGAGCCAUCAGUGAGAUACCACUCUUGUAAUGUUAGAUUUCUAACUUUGGAUCAUUAUCUGGUCAAAGAACAGUUUCAGGCGGGCAGUUUGACUGGGGCGGUCGCCUCCCAAACGGUAACGGAGGCGCACAAAGGUUUCCUCUGAACGGGUAGAAAUCGUAUCUAGAGUGUAAAGGCAUAAGGAAGCUUGACUGUGAGACCUACAAGUCGAGCAGGGACGAAAGUCGGUCUUAGUGAUCUGACGGUGCUGAGUGGAAAGGCCGUCACUCAACGGAUAAAAGUUACUCUAGGGAUAACAGGCUGAUCUCCCCCAAGAGUUCACAUCGACGGGGAGGUUUGGCACCUCGAUGUCGGCUCAUCGCAUCCUGGGGCGGUAGUACGUCCCAAGGGUUGGGCUGUUCGCCCAUGAAAGCGGUACGCGAGCUGGGUUCAGAACGUCGUGAGACAGUUCGGUCCAUAUCCGGUGUAGGCGUUAGAAUAUUGAGAGGAGCCUUCUUUAGUACGAGAGGACCGAGAAGGACAUACCUAUGGUGUACCAGUUAUCGUGCCAACGGUAAACGCUGGGUAGCUAUGUAUGGAGUGGAUAACCGCUGAAAGCAUCUAAGUGGGAAGCCCACCUCAAGAUAAGUAUUCUCAU